rnacentral:lncRNA from 1 species
GCCUGACUUCGACAACCAUACAGAGCUCCGAUUGGUUUUCGAUUUGCCUCGAUUUGACACCGACGAGGCUCAUUUUAGUUUGAUUUGGCUUGGGUGUGUUCGAUUUUUGUCCGAUUUGUUCCGGUAAGCUCCCAGCUUCCUUAGGAGUGCGAUUCUUCCUCUUGGGAAUGCGUUUCCGUCAUGUUUUUGAGCGAGAAACGCGGAAUCAUGUUUCUUGGGGAGGAGCGGAAACCUUGAAGGCAGUUCCUGUAAAUAAGGUUUGACUAGAUUGAUACUAAUGCAUUUAAUGUCUAUUUUUGUUGAGCAUCUCGCAAAGAGGCAACCUUCUAUUUUUGAACUAGUCAACAAGUUUUAAAGUUUUUCUAUGUAGUACCAUUUAUAUCUUCUCCUUCUUGGUUUGACAGGAAGUAGACCUUAACAUGGAGCAGGAACAGCUUCAUCAGCUAAAACAAAAGGUGAUAAAAAUGCUGGUGGCUGCUGUUGAUAAACCUUCAUAGAUGUUGAACCUCAUCGACGGAAUCCAAUGCCUAGGUGUGUCUUACCAUUUCGAAACAGAGAUUGAAGCAACUUUAAAACACAUAUGAGAGCGAUCACCAUUUCGAUGACCUUUACACUAUUGCUCUCUUUUUUUGGUUACUCAAACAACAAGGGUUUCCUGCCUCUUGUGGUAAUUAAAGUUAUCUUCCAUUUGAUUCUUUUCAUCAUCUAAGCAAGGCCAAAUAAAUCAAACACAAACAUGCAUGUGUGCAUAUGCCACUUAGAGGGGUUUUUAAAAUGUGUUCCCUAGUCCCAAUGCAAUUUCAGAAACAAAAUCAUGUUUUGACGUCAGUGUAAUUCAAGAUCUCCACCACUUGUGAUCCAAUUGGAGACAAGAAAUAAAAGUUCUAUCAUGAAUGGCUUCCUAGAUGACCUAGUUUAUAAUUUUAAGAUAGCACCUUUUUUAAACCCUUUAAUUAUGAAAGGUUUCAUAAUUGGCUAGAUUUCGUGACACAUCAUGUUUAAUGUUAUUUGGAGUUGUGUCAAGUCAAUCACAAGCAUUUGGUAAGUUUUUCAAGCAUAUUCGUACAAGCUUGGGCUAAGGGAGUCUUGUAUGAUAGAUAGUCAAUGAUGAAAUGAGACUUCGAGGGAUCUCGAAGACAAAAGGAGUGUGCUAGCAUUUGUUUCAAGACCUCGCGGGUAGUUUGCAGGAUGUUCGCGGGAGGUUGCUAGAAGAUAUCGAGAGCUGAAUUUCACAGAGAAGCUCAUGGGUACUUUGCGAGAGCUCGUGGGAGGUCACAAGAAGAAAUCGAGAGCUUGUACUUUGUCACAGACCUCGCAGGAGGUCGCGGGACCGUCGCGGGAAGAAGCUGAGAGUUUGUGUUUUGCCACAGACCUCGCGGGAUCGUCACGGGAGCGACAAAGUUUGUGGGAUCCUCGCGGGAGCAAGCUGUGCAAUACUGUAGCAACAGGAUCUGCGGUUUUUAAGGUUUUCAGCCACUAUAAAAGGAAAAACACACUUCUACAAAGAUCAUCUGAAUAGCCUCCAUCAAUAUAACCUAUAGAAAAGUGUUCUCUAUCUUCCGAAAAACUCAGAAACAAAUCUUAACACAAAUUUUCUUCAACCUAAUUGGAAAAAUCGAAAUCCUUGAAGGAGUUCAAGGUGUGAAAUCCGUUCUAAAGGGAUCUGAACGAUGAUCAAGCACGGUGACAGUGAAUCGUGGAUACGAGUUAGAUCUUAGCAAUCAUCAGAUCAAGGAGUUGAUAGCUUUUGAUUGUAAGAGUCUUGUAACUUUUUGAAACUUGUGAUAUAGUGCAUGAUCUUUGUUCGAAAAGUGGACACGUAAUUUUUUUCCCAUUCAAGGGUUUCCACGGUAAAAAUCUCGUGUUCAUCUUGCUUAAUUAGUUUGUUCUUUUUACAUCUUGGAUCUUACAAUAUUGCUCAAAGUCAUUAUAUUUUAAUUCAAUAUUGUAGUUUGCAGAUCCUUGGAUAAAACCUAGAUAAAGAUUAAUUUUUUCAAUUGAUAUCAGAGCAGGACACUCAAAAAUAUUUUUUUAUUUUUAAAAGAGUGAGAUUUUAAUAGUCUAUGUGUAUGGAUUUGCCUAAGGAAGGUAGUUCCACAACUCAACCUCCCUUACUUGAUGGGACAAUCUAUUCAUAUUCGAAAGCUAAAAUAAGGGUUUUCCUUAAGUCUAUAGAUGAGUGUGUAUGACAGGCGCUUAUCCAUUUCAAUAAUUUUUUGUUUUCAAGAUGCUGACCCUAGUUGUUUAGGUAGUACUGUCAGUACACAAAACUCACAGUUAAGAUCCUCUGAAGUAGAUUUCCCUGAAGUGUCCCUGGAGCUAUUAAAAUGACGUUUUUUUUGUAUUAAAACGACGUCAUUUCGAUUACUCUUAAAAUUUUUCCUGGGUGUUCAAAACGACAUUGUUUUUAUUUGGCUCCAAAUUUUUGAUUUCCCUCCGUCAUUUUUGAAAACUCUCUCUCUUUGCUCCUCUCUCUCGCUCUAUCUAUUAGAUGGAAACC